rnacentral:misc_RNA from 1 species
GAUGAAGAACGCAGCGAAAUGCGAUAAGUAAUGUGAAUUGCAGAAUUCAGUGAAUCAUCGAAUCUUUGAACGCACAUUGCGCCCGCCAGUAUUCUGGCGGGCAUGCCUGUCUGAGCGUCAUUUCAACCCUCAUGCCCCUAGGGCGUGGUGUUGGGGAUCGGCCAAAGCCCGCGAGGGACGGCCGGCCCCUAAAUCUAGUGGCGGACCCGUCGUGGCCUCCUCUGCGAAGUAGUGAUAUUCCGCAUCGGAGAGCGACGAGCCCCUGCCGUUAAACCCCCAACUUUCCAAGGUUGACCUCAGAUCAGGUAGGAAUACCCGCUGAACUUAAGAAUAUCAAUAAGCGGAGGA